rnacentral:tRNA from 1 species
GAUAAAGUGUCUGAUAUGUUAGGUUGUAAAUUGUAAAUUUAUAUAAGAAUGAAAAAUUCCUUUAUCA